UACACUCCUACGGGAGGCAGCAGUGGGGAAUUUUGGACAAUGGGCGAAAGCCUGAUCCAGCCAUGCCGCGUGCAGGAUGAAGGCCUUCGGGUUGUAAACUGCUUUUGUACGGAACGAAACGGCCUUUUCUAAUAAAGAGGGCUAAUGACGGUACCGUAAGAAUAAGCACCGGCUAACUACGUGCCAGCAGCCGCGGUAAUACGUAGGGUGCAAGCGUUAAUCGGAAUUACUGGGCGUAAAGCGUGCGCAGGCGGUUAUGUAAGACAGUUGUGAAAUCCCCGGGCUCAACCUGGGAACUGCAUCUGUGACUGCAUAGCUAGAGUACGGUAGAGGGGGAUGGAAUUCCGCGUGUAGCAGUGAGAUGCGUAGAUAUGCGGAGGAACACCGAUGGCGAAGGCAAUCCCCUGGACCUGUACUGACGCUCAUGCACGAAAGCGUGGGGAGCAAACAGGAUUAGAAACCCGGGUAGUCCCAUGAU
rnacentral:rRNA from 1 species